GUGCUUCUUAGGCAAGCGCUCUACCACUGAGCUAAAUCCCCAACCCCGGUAAGGUGUUCUUGAUAUUCCGGUUAGGUGAAUAUCUAUUCUUGAUAUUCCGGUUAGGUGAAUAUCUCAGGCGAGAUGCACGUUUAAUGUUCAGGAUUCCUUCUCAGAGAAUUUAAGCAGAGGCUUUUCUGUUUACAUUUUUACCUGUUUAACAACCCAAUGUUUUCUCCCCUGAACCAUCUUCUGGCAUCAGGUGCGAUGGAGCAUGUGUUAUAGAAAAGGAGAUUUUAGAGGCUACUUUGAGUGACAGUAGGAGCUGCUGAGAAAAGAAAGGGUGUGAGCUUGGGAACAGCUGGGCGCGACUGCACGUCUACCCUGGGCAGUCCUAGUGACGGUGCAGCGAAGGCAGGGACAACUCAAGGCUGUGUGGUGUGCAAGGACAAUCUUGUGGUGGGAGUGAAAAGGUAAAUGUGUGAAACAUUUCAAAUGAAGUAGCGAGCCAAGGAAUGUAUGCCCAAAGUAGAAAUGUAUGAAAUGAUUAUGUGACAUAGAAAAGAUUAUCUUUAAUUAUUUCCAGAUAGUCACUGCCUUUUGCAAAAGCAUGAGUGAGUCAACUCAAAAUCAAUUAUAAUAAAAUUCAGGGACAUAGCUGCUCAUAUGUCAAUGGAAGACUAAUAUCGUUGUUAUAAGAGUAGACCUGUAUGAAAUACAGUAAAAGAGAUUUGCUUUAUGGUAACAACAAACAUUAUCAAGUACACAAACAUGACUGACUUAGUGAAAUGUGUUAGAUUAUGAAAAUAAUUGCAUUUUUAAGGAGAGGACGUGAAUAUACAGGCAUAUAUAGUACCUAAUAUAUCACCGUGAAUUUUAAUUUCUAAAUAAACUUUCAUAUACAGAUAUUAAAGCAAGGAUGAUUUAUUUAGACUGGUAUUAGAGUGAAAGCCCCAAUUCUACCCAAAUACCUGUGCAUGCUAAGGUACCACUUUAGAGUGUAAGGAUAGGGCUCUGCCUUCUGCUCACUUUAGAAUGCAGUAUGCUGUGAGCCUUCUCUCAGGAAUGCCUCUAAAUCUGCACGUCAGCUCCAUAGACUUCCUUGGCUGAAACCCACCAUGCAGGCUCAGAUGAGAUCCUCAAGGUACGAAGUUAAGCUACAGCAGUCUAGACAGUGACGUCACUGCUACGCACCAGGUGGAGACAAACACAGUUUGGGGUUCAGCAAUCUAAUUACCUAUCAGAACAUACCAAACCCACAACAAUUCUCAAAAUGACAGAACAGUGCAGUAUAAUUCUUAAAAUGACCAGUUUCAGCCAAAAUGCUAAGUACAUAAAUGAUUAAUGACUUGAAUUCAUGACAAGAAAAAUAUAGUAAAUACAAAUUCAUUCUAAGGCAAUCUGAAUGCUGGACCUGGAAGUAAAUCAACUGGUAUAAAGAGUCAAAACCAAACCUUGUCUUAAUGAAUGUGUAGACAGGAAUGAAAAUGUAAGAUAACUGAAAACUACAGUAGAAAAUCAUUGCAACAAAUGUAUACAAGACUACAUAGGGCAGAAACAUCAAGCAACCUCACCCUGACAAUAUACUGAUACCAAUUUUAGUUUAAGAAGAAAUAUGAUUUUCAAAAGGGAACAACGAUACAGAAAUCUGGAAUAGUCCCAACUGGUUCAACAUACACGUAAUUAAGAUUCCAGAGGAUGAGAAACAAAGACAGAGAAAGAAAGACAAAGAGAUAAUAUGUUUGAAGAAAUAAUGGAUUAAACCAUUCCCUAUUUGGUAGAAAGAAAAACCAGACACAAUGAUUACAGACUCAGGUGUCCUCAGGUAGUAGGAUAAGAAGAUAACCCAGUUUACACGGUAACUACACAAAGGAAGAUGAGAGAGGAGAGCACGAGUGUGAAGGCUCAAAGCAACAAGAAGAAACAGCUGUUUUAUUUUUUUUAAAUCAAGAAUAAUUGGAACCAAAGUACAAUGAAAUCACGUCCAAUACUGAUUUUUUUUCAUAAUACAGAUGGAUUAUAUUUUGUCUUUAGUUUUUGAGGAACUUCUACACUGAUUUACAUGGUGGCUAUUCUAGUGUACAUUUCCACCAGGAGUGUAUAAUACGUAUUUCCUAUGUCCCCCGUACCCACUGUCCUCGCCAUCAUUUGUUGUGGUUUAUCUUUUCAAUGAUAAUUUCGAAGCUGUUAGAGGACAAAACAAAUACAUAGGCAAGGGCUUUCUCAAAAGACUCCAAUAGCUACAGAAAUAAUUGUAGGAACUGACUAAUGAGAUUGUAUGAAAUUAAAAAGCUUCCGCGCAGCAAAGGAAAAAGCUGACAGAGAGAAACAAUAGGCCACAGAACUAGAUCCUGCAUAUCUGAGAGGAGAUUAGUUUCUAGAAUCCACAAACAACUCAAAAAGUUAAGAGACAAUAAACCAAGUAAUCCAGUCAAAAUCUGGCAAUUGUAGUGAACACUUCCUAUAACCAACUUCUAGUAAACUGUCAGCUGAUGCCUUAUUAAUUUGCUAUAGAAAUUCAAUGGUAACCUACAAAAAUAAUAUAGAUCCCGUACUUGUAAAAUAUUAGGCAAAC
rnacentral:sRNA from 1 species